rnacentral:rRNA from 1 species
CCAGAGUCCUACGGGAGGCAGCAGUGGGGAAUAUUGCACAAUGGGCGAAAGCCUGAUGCAGCGACGCCGCGUGAGGGAUGACGGCCUUCGGGUUGUAAACCUCUUUCGCUCAUGGUCAAGCCGCAACUCAAGGUUGUGGUGAGGGUAGUGGGUAAAGAAGCGCCGGCUAACUACGUGCCAGCAGCCGCGGUAAUACGUAGGGCGCGAGCGUUGUCCGGAAUUAUUGGGCGUAAAGGGCUUGUAGGCGGUUGGUCGCGUCUGCCGUGAAAUCCUCUGGCUUAACUGGGGGCGUGCGGUGGGUACGGGCUGACUUGAGUGCGGUAGGGGAGACUGGAACUCCUGGUGUAGCGGUGGAAUGCGCAGAUAUCAGGAAGAACACCGGUGGCGAAGGCGGGUCUCUGGGCCGUUACUGACGCUGAGGAGCGAAAGCGUGGGGAGCGAACAGGAUUAGAUACCCUGGUAGUCCACGCUGUAAACGUUGGGCACUAGGUGUGGGGGCCACCCGUGGUUUCUGCGCCGUAGCUAACGCUUUAAGUGCCCCGCCUGGGGAGUACGGCCGCAAGGCUAAAACUCAAAGGAAUUGACGGGGGCCCGCACAAGAGGG